GUGCCAGCAGCCGCGGUAAUACGUAGGUCCCGAGCGUUGUCCGGAUUUAUUGGGCGUAAAGCGAGCGCAGGCGGUUAGAUAAGUCUGAAGUUAAAGGCUGUGGCUUAACCAUAGUACGCUUUGGAAACUGUUUAACUUGAGUGCAAGAGGGGAGAGUGGAAUUCCAUGUGUAGCGGUGAAAUGCGUAGAUAUAUGGAGGAACACCGGUGGCGAAAGCGGCUCUCUGGCUUGUAACUGACGCUGAGGCUCGAAAGCGGGGGAGCGAACCGAGAUUGAGACCCUGGAGUGC
rnacentral:rRNA from 1 species